CCAACGAAACUAAUACCAGCUGCGCCACGGCGGGCUUGCUGCUACUAUUGCCUACCAAUAUUUAAUGGAGUAUUUAACUAUUGAAGUUACAGAUUUAGAACAACUCAAAAUUGAAGAAAAUAAUUUCAAUUAUUCUCAACGUAAUAAAGUUUUGUCAAAAAAAAACUAAAAACGGCUGUGACAUCCUAUCAAACUUCAGUAUUAUGGCUAUGCUGUUAUAAAACUAAGGCCUCAAUCACAACCACUGAAGGUUUUACCGGUAGUUAUUUUUAAUUGCCUCUAAGCAUAGUAUGGAAGUUAUCUACCCAGAUUAUUCUUUAUUGUACUCAGAGAUAUAAAUAAAGUCUUUGAUUGUACUCAUUGAUAAAUUCUGCUGUUGGUAUGUGUUUCUGAUUGUACAUAUAAAAUAAACGAUACUGAACGGA